rnacentral:rRNA from 1 species
AAUAGAUACCCGGGUAGUCCACGCCGUAAACGUUGGGCGCUAGAUGUGGGGGCCAUUCCACGGUUUCCGCGUCGUAGCUAACGCAUUAAGCGCCCCGCCUGGGGAGUACGGCCGCAAGGCUAAAACUCAAAGGAAUUGACGGGGGCCCGCACAAGCGGCGGAGCAUGCGGAUUAAUUCGAUGCAACGCGAAGAACCUUACCAAGGCUUGACAUAUACGAGAACACUGCAGAAAUGUAGGACUCUUUGGACACUCGUAUACAGGUGGUGCAUGGUUGUCGUCAGCUCGUGUCGUGAGAUGUUGGGUUAAGUCCCGCAACGAGCGCAACCCUCGUCGCAUGUUGCCAGCACGUAAAGGUGGGAACUCAUGUGAGACUGCCGGGGUCAGCUCGGAGGAAGGUGGGGAUGACGUCAAAUCAUCGUGCCCCUUAUGUCUUGGGCUUCACGCAUGCUACAAUGGCCGGUACAGAGAGCAGCCACUUAGCGAUAAGGAGCGAAUCUAUAAAGCCGGUCACAGUUCGG